CGUGGGCGCUGGAGAACUGAGGGGGGCUGCUCCUAGUACGAGAGGACCGGAGUGGACGCAUCACUGGUGUUCGGGUUGUCAUGCCAAUGGCACUGCCCGGUAGCUAAAUGCGGAAGAGAUAAGUGCUGAAAGCAUCUAAGCACGAAACUUGCCCCGAGAUGAGUUCUCCCUGACUCCUUGAGAGUCCUGAAGGAACGUUGAAGACGACGACGUUGAUAGGCCGGGUGUGUAAGCGCAGCGAUGCGUUGAGCUAACCGGUACUAAUGAACCGUGAGGCUUAACCUUACAACGCCGAAGCUGUU
rnacentral:rRNA from 2 species